UACGUAGGCAGCAAGCGUUGUUCGGAAUUACGGGGCGUAAAGGGUGUGUAGGCGGUUGUUUAAGUUUGGUGUGAAAUCUCCCGGCUCAACUGGGAGGGUGCGCCGAAUACUGAGGGACUAGAGUAUGGGAUGGGAAAGUGGAAUUCCUGGUGUAGCGGUGAAAUGCGUAGAUAUCAGGAGGAACACCUGUGGUGUAGACGGCUUUCUGGACCAUAACUGACGCUGAGACACGAAAGCGUGGGUAGCAAACAGG
rnacentral:rRNA from 1 species